rnacentral:rRNA from 1 species
ACACAUGCAAGUCGAGCGGAAACGAGUUAUCUGAACCUUCGGGGAACGAUAACGGCGUCGAGCGGCGGACGGGUGAGUAAUGCCUAGGAAAUUGCCUUGAUGUGGGGGAUAACCAUUGGAAACGAUGGCUAAUACCGCAUAAUGCCUACGGGCCAAAGAGGGGGACCUUCGGGCCUCUCGCGUCAAGAUAUGCCUAGGUGGGAUUAGCUAGUUGGUGAGGUAAUGGCUCACCAAGGCGACGAUCCCUAGCUGGUCUGAGAGGAUGAUCAGCCACACUGGAACUGAGACACGGUCCAGACUCCUACGGGAGGCAGCAGUGGGGAAUAUUGCACAAUGGGCGCAAGCCUGAUGCAGCCAUGCCGCGUGUAUGAAGAAGGCCUUCGGGUUGUAAAGUACUUUCGNCGGGGAGGAAGGGGGUGUCGUUAAUAGCGGCAUUUCUUGACGUUAGCUGAAGAAGAAGCACGGGCUAACUGCGUGCCAGCAGCCGCGAAUAAUACGGAGGGUGAGAGCGUAAAUCGGAAUUACUGGGCGUGAAGGGCAUUCAGGGGGUUAAUAGGGGNAAAUGAGAAAGCNAGCUCCUAGAAGGCGGAACGGGUUAGGAAUUUGUAGGA